CCUACGGGAGGCAGCAGUGAGGAAUAUUGGUCAAUGGGCGGGAGCCUGAACCAGCCAAGCCGCGUGAGGGAAGAAGGUACAGCGUAUCGUAAACCUCUUUUGCCAGGGAACAAAGGCGGGGACUAGUCCCCGGAUCAGGGUACCUGAAGAAAAAGCAUGGGCAAACUCCGGGCCAGCAGCCGCGGUAAUACGGAGGAUGUGAGCGGUAUCCGGAUGUAUUGGGUUUAAAGGGUGCGCAGGGGGCCUGUUAAGUCAGCGGGAAAAGCCCGGGGCUAAACCCCGGCGAGACGUUGAAACUGGGAGGCUGGAGUUGGGGAGAGGUACGCGGAAUGCGCGGUGUAGCGGUGAAAUGCUUAGAUAUCGCGCAGAACCCCGAUUGCGAAGGCAGCGUACCGGCUCCACACUGACGCUGAGGCACGAAAGCGUGGGUAUCGAACAGGAUUAGAUACCCCAGUAGUC
rnacentral:rRNA from 1 species